rnacentral:lncRNA from 1 species
UUAAUUAAGAUCAAGGGUCAAUUGAAGCAAUUAAUCCCAAGAAAUCAAUUAGCCUUAAGAAUGAAGGAAUCCCCAAUUCCUAGAGGAUGUCAAAUGCUUACACAUCCAUAAAGGAGUUAUGAUUCAUAAGCUAGAGAUGAUUUCUACCAUCAUAAAGCCUUUGUUCUAGAUAAAUUCAAUGAUCCAAUGCAAAAUCAAUGAAAUAAAUCAACCAUUGCUCAAUCAAAUACUAAGCUCAUGAUCAAAGCAUCAAUUAAGCAUAAGAAUUGCAAACUAGAAUCAUAAACAUGGAAUAAAUUGAUAAUCAACAUAAAUCCUUCAAAACCCACAAACAUUCAUUGGUUUUCAGCCAAAGUCAACCAAAUAAGAGUAUUAGCCACUCAUGGCAACAAAGUAACAAGAACAAUAAUCUAAUUGCAUAAAGAAACUACCUAAGAUUUGGAAAGAUGAAAGGAAAUGGUUUCUAGCUCCCAAAAUCGCCUCUUGCAGGUCUCUAAUGGUGGAAAAACGUAAAUUAGCUUCUAGAUCUGAUCCCUAAGGGUUAUGGUGUGCCAAAUGACCAAAAUGCCCAAACUGGGCAGUUGCGCGGGUACCGGCGCGACGAAAAUUCCACCCGCGCAAAUGUUGCUGUAAUACUAUUGGUCCACCAAGCCACUCCACCCUUCCACUACCAAAGAUUCCUUUGGUCCCCCUCCUUGUCCAUGUAAUUUGAAAUGCACCAAUCAUCAUUUAGCCACCAAAUGGAUGCUCCAAGCCCAAAAUUUGAAUUUUAUGAUCCAUCUUCACAAGCCCAAAUAAUCCAAGCCAAUAACUUUCAAAGCCCAAUUCUUCUUCUUUGAUUCCGCCAAGCCCAAUAAUGCCUCGGGAGCCCACUAAGCCCGUCUCCAAUCAACCCGCAACCGCAACAAGCACCGAAAAACCUACAAAAUAUCUCAUGCAACAUAACAAGCACCCGGUAUGAUCCAUACUAAAGAAAAAUAAAUAAAUUACAAUGCAUUAAUGAUAAAAAGAUCUAAAAAUCUAAAAAUAAACUAAUAAAAUAAGGAAAUAAAAUAAGCUAUCAAAUCACCCCAAGCUUAAACCUAACUUGUCCUCAAGUUAGAACAAGACUAAAAAUGAGCUCGGGAUGAACUAUCUAAAAAGGAAAAAGAAAGAUACCAUAGAACUUGGUCAACAUCAGUCAACAUGGUCAGAAUUAGUCCUUCAAUGGACCCUACGCAUCUUCAAAAUGUUCCCCGCUUUAGAACCAUAAACCACAUUCUUAACCACUUGAUGGGCGAAUAGAUCACGGCUGGAUGCGGUCGCGGUGUGCAAGACAAAGGAAACAGAGAUGCGCCCAGUGGGGGCACUUUAAAUCACCAAUGUAGACCAUAGUGCACGAAGGAAAGGCGCCUCUUCACACACUAUGAUUCCUACAUUUGUCAGGCCAAAGUGUAUAAUAAUGAAAUAGGGUUUUGCAGCACGGCCUCUGGGCAAACAUCCGGUUUCAGAGGCUUCUCCCUUGUACUGUCCUUUACAGUCUACCGUCUCAUCGUCGGGGCCUUUUCUCACCAAAAAUCAAAAAUAAAAUAAAAUAANNNNNNNNNNNNNNNNNNNNNNNNNNNNNNNNNNACAAAACAUUCGGGUCUUGGUAGAAGACUACAUUGUCAUAACAAAACAUUCGGGUCUUGGUAGAAGACUACAUUUCAUACUUAUAGAAAAUAAGGGAUUUUCUUGGGUUUUCAUACUUACAUCAACAUUUUCAUUUAAAGGUUUACAUGGCCUUCAUAACAGAUUUUCAUAAGCAAGACAAUGACACUUAAAUACUUAUGAAUUCACCAGCUUUAAAGCUGAUACUCUCUUUCAAAAUAACUUGUAUUCUCAGGUCAACAGUAGACAGGUACGAUGGCCAGGUUUUGAGAAGACGGAGCAGACAAGUCUCAUCUUUUAUUUUGAUUGUAUAUUUUUGGUGUCUUGCUAAAAUGAAAGAACACAUAUGUAUUAAAAUUUUACUUAUAAUGCAAUGGAUGAUGUUGUUUCUUGUUUAUUAUAUUACACUGUUGUGAUACUGUACAUGACGUCCUCCACCCCUGAACGUUUCCGCCGUUCGUGGUUUUGGGGUAUGACAUAAGAUAGGAUGGAGGCUAAAAUGAACACCAAAUGAUCAAUGACAGUAUGCCAAGAUCAACUAAAAAGGGUAGGGAAUGACUCAAAAAAUGGGUGUUAUCGAAAAAACUUGGUCCCAAAAGAUGUGAAUUGGGGGACCCACUUCAAUGUUCAUCAAGCACCUCAAUUCAAGGUGUGAUAAAAAAAAUCUAACUAAGCACCCUGUCCUAAAAAGGAGGUGAGAAUCUAACUAUGCAAGGCUCGGACAAGACUCGGGAGUACUAAGGGGUACUCCCCCCAAAACGAAGAUUCGAGUCUUCAAUAUCUUCAAUGUCUUCAAAAUACCUUACCGGGCUAGUCUUUGCUCGCACACAUUGGCAUGACCAACCACAUCCCUCCGCACCUAGACCCAAUCAAGCUACCUGCAUCUGACCCCCACACAAGCGGUCUCAAAGUGGUCUGUGAGGCUCAAAACUUGUCCCAUUCAUCAAAUACAAGGAAUUCCAUAUCAAGACCCGGGACCAAUCUAUGAUUCAAUCCUUAUGACUCUGCGCUAUGGUACCUGUAGGGAUGAGAAGACAAGAGAGAACAAAAAUGCAUGAACCUAACCUAAAAUGCAUCUAAAAAGUAUGAAAAUUAGAAAAGAAAGAAACAAAAUAUGCAAUAUUUUUUUUUGAAUUUUUUUAUGCAAUUUUUAUGAAUGCCCUAAAUGACUAACUCUAAAUGCAACUAUAUACAACCUAAAUGCAAUAAAAAUAAAAGAUUAGAUUACCUCACCCCAAGCUUAAAAUUAAGCAUUGUCCUCAAUGCUUAGGAUGAGAGUAAGGAAGGAUCAUACCGGGAUCAAGGUGGAGGAGGCCCGCGAGGACGGUAUGGAAGCAACACAUGGGUCGCAUAAUGAUGCUUGGAUGGAGUUCUUGGCCGCCUAAAUACACAUGGAUGAAAGCUUGGUCGCGCAAAGGACGCAUAUGAAAUGGCUCGAAAUUUUCUUAUGAAAUGACAUAUUUGCGCGGGUACCCUCGCAAACUUUGCGCGAGUGGGGGGCAUCCGCGCGCACAUGUCAGAAUACAUCCCAUGUUGGGGUAAUUUGGAACUCGGAAUCUGCGCGGCUGGGGGUCGGUCGCGCAACGGCUGCGCGGGCACCCGCGCACAACAAUCAGAGAGCACCCCAUGUUGCUGUAAUUUGGAACUCGGGACCUGCGCGACUGGGGUCGGUCGCGCAAAGUCUGCGCUGGAACCCGCGCAAAAGUCAAAAUUUUGGAAUUUUCAAACUUCACCAAAAUCACUGGAAGACUUCUAUAUGCUUAUUUUUAGGCCAACUUCAAGUUUAGAAACACCCAAAACUUCAAGCGGAGAAUAUUUAUUCACAAUGCAUUUAUUUAACGUCCUUGCCAAGACAUAGCCCCGCUUCCGUCAACCUUCGUAAAUCGGUGUUUCCAUUGUUACGUUGUCGAAUUCUCCCGUGUCAAAGCCUUCAUAAAAUAGUUUCAAAUGGUUCCCAUUCACUUUGAAGAUUUGGUUUGUUUCCAAACUCUUGAUUUCAACCACACUAGGAUCAAACACUUUUAUAACAAUAAAAGGUCCAUGCCAUCGAGAUUGCAAUUUUCCCGGGAAUAACUUUAAGCCUGAAUGAUAAAGAACUUUUUGACCCGUAAUAAAGUGUUUUUGGGUUAUGUACUUGUCAUGAAAUGCCUUUUUCUUCUCUUUGCACCUUUUGAACCUUUUAAUUAUCUUCUUCUUGACCACUUCCAUCAUUGGAGGAUCCAAUCUUCUUUGAGGUUCCCUCUUAGGAUUACAAUCAUCUUCCAUGAUUAUCUUGUCUGUGCAUACAUUAGGGUUUAUCCUGUUUAUUGGCUCAAUCACAUCAACCUGAUACAAUGGAGAAAUGUUAUUAGGAUACCUCAUUCCUUCAAAGAUGUUGAAGUUAAUGGUUUCUCCAUCAAACUCCAUAGUUAUCUUUCCUUUAUGGACAUCAAUGAUUGUGUGAGUGGUAUGCAUGAAAGGUCUUCCAAGGAGGAUCAUAGAUGAUAUGGAAGGAGUUUUCUCUUCAAGAUCAAUGACAUAAAAAUCCGCCGGAAAAACAAGUUGAUUAACUUGUACUAACACAUCCUCCAACACUCCUCUUGGAGACACACUUGACUUGUCUGCUAAUUGAAUGAUUACUCCAGUUUCUUCCAAAGGUCCAACAUUAAGAGAUUGAAAAACCGAAUAUGGCAUCACAUUAAUCGAGGCUCCAAGAUCUAACAUAACACUUUCGACAUGCAAAUCACCAAUGGUACAAGGGAUAGCAAAUAUUCCCGGAUCCUUGCAUUUGGGAGGUAACUUCUUUUGGAUAACCGCAGACACAUUUGCAUUGACUUGAAUCUUUUCAUUUGCCUUGAAUUUUCUCUUCUUGGUGCAUAAAUCCUUGAGGAAUUUUGCAUAACUUGGAAUUUGCUUAAUAGCAUUCAAUAGUGGAAUGUUGAUUUGGACCUUGCGAAAAGUUUCAAAUAAUUCAUUUUCUUCCUCUAUCUUCUUGGAAAAGGCUAACCGGGAAGGGAAGGGAGGUGGUAUGACCAAUGGUUUGAUGGGUUUUUUGGAAGAGUCAGGUUGAUCAACGUUUGGCACAACUGGUUCCUUUGGAGGAACCACAACUUUUGGAGGUUCCACGAUGAUCACUUCAUCUUCGUCUUCUCUUGAAACUCUUUUAGGUUGACUUUCUCCAAGUGUUUUCCCACUUCGCAAGGUAAUGGCACUCACAUUGGGGGUUCUUCUCGGUUUGUGAUGGAAGUUUACCCUUUUGUUCUAUCUUGUUGAGAGCGGUUGCCAAGUCUCCAAUUUGUGCUUGAAUGUUGGAGAAAGUAUUCUUGGUUUCAUGUUGAAAUUUGGUUUGGCUUUGAGAAAGAGAAGUGACAAGUUCUUGAAGGCUCAUUUGAUGGGUACCACUUGAUUGGCCUUGUUGUGGAGGUUGUUGAUAAUUUGGAGGGUUAUAAGAAUUUUGUGGAUAUGGAGGUUUUUGGGAUUGGUAUUGUGGAUGUUGGGGUCUCAUCAAAAGAUUUGGUGGAUUUUGCUUUGGUGGAUAAGGGUUGUUUUGGUUAUUCCUCCAAUUUGGGUUGAAAUUGUUUUGAAAUCCCAUGGGUCUUGGUUGACCUUGAUAUCCGCCCAUUGCAUUCACAUCUUCCGGUUCACUUCCAAGUGUGGGACACUUAUCCGUAUAAUGGCUCGUCAUUGCACAAAUACCACAUACCAUCAAUUGUUGACCACUUCCCACCACCAUUUGACUUAACACAUUAGUCAAAUCCAAGAGCUUCGAUUCCAAGUGUUGAGUGUUGCUAACUUCACCAACCACUUGUGUAGAAUUUCUCUUCAUGUCAAUUAGAGUCCCAAAAUUCCUUUGAUUUUGAGAAAUGGUACCAAAAAGUAAUCGGAUCUCGUGAGGGGUUUUGUUGAAGAUGUCACCACCACUUGAAGCAUCAAUCAUCCUUCGAUCUUUUUCAUUCAUACCCUCAUAAAAUUGUUUAAGAAGUAGUUUUUCGGGUAUAUUGUAUUGAGGACAACUUGUACACAAAUUGUUGAAGCUCCCAAAAUCAUGAAAUGUUUCAUUUUCCCCUUGAUGAAUCCACAAAAUGUCACUUCUUUGACUUGAAAUGCGGGAGGUGGGAUAGAAUUUGCUAUUGAAGGUCUUGAGUAACUCUUCCCAUGUGUGAAUUGAUCCAUGUGGUAAGUUGAAUAACCACUCUCUAGCUUUGUCUUCCAAGGUGAGUGGGAAUGCGGUUAACUUGAAAUCAUCCAAUGUCGCAUUGUCGGGCAACAUGCUAACACAUAUCAUAUGAAAGGAAUUCAAAUGCUUUUGAGGAUCUUCUCUAUCCAACCCAUGGAAUUUGGUUAGUUUAUGGAUGAAACUUGACUUCAAUUCAAUCCCUAGGCGGUUUGCGGGAUAAACAAUAGCAAGAGGUGUGUGAGUAACAUCCGUUUCCAUAAUUUGUCUAAGUGUCAACUCUUGAGGGGGAUUGGGUGGAUUGGGGUUAUUGGGAUAUUGUUGCAAGUAAUUGGGUGGUUGAUGAUAAGGUGGGUAAGGGUAUUGGUUGUGAUUGUAAAUUGGUGGUGGAUAAGCUUGGUAAUUAGGAUAUUGGUUGUAGGGGGUUGUUGUUGUGGGUACAUUUGGUUUUGGUACAUUUGAGGGGGUUGGUAAUUGGGUUGAUUUGGGUAAUGUACUUGUUGUUGAACUUGAAAAGCAUUGUUUUGAGGUUGGUUGUUUUGGUGGAAGUUUUGGUUUUGUGGUUGAUAAUUGGGUUGGUUUUGAGGAGGUGCUUGAUUCCAAGGUGGCAUAUCAAUGAGAGGUUCUUGUGGUUAGUGUCUUGGUUGAUGGGGUGGGGUAUUGGCAUCUUGAUUGAUUGGGUUUGGGUUGGGAUUGUGAGGUGAAGUGUGAUUCAUGGCUAUGUGGUUUUCAAACGGAAUGUCUUCAAAGGAAUGACCAACAAUUAGAGAACUCGGUUCGGUGUCGGUAUCACUUGAAGUAUGAACUUGAUCUUCUAUGUUGAUUAGUGGAGAAGAGGAAGAAGCUUGAACUAGUUGUUGUUUCUUUGCUUGUUUGGAUAACUUUUUCAACCUUUUUGCUACUCUUUCAAUUUUCGGAUUGUAGAGUAGUUCACCGGUUCUUGUAGACCUAGGCAUAAACAAUCAAAUAACAAUAACCAAUUUCCCCGGCAACGGUGCCAAAACUUGGUGGGAUGUCAAGUCCACGAAGCAAAUUACAACAUUUGAUUGCUAAAUAAACGUAAUAUAAUGGUAAAAAGGGGUAUCGAUCCUCGGGGAAAUGGUUGUAUUCAAUCACCAAUGCAAUUCAAUAGAACUAGUGAAAUUAAACUAACUAACUACAAUUAAACUAAAGGGGGGGGGGUUGAUUACUUGAAAACUAAAAUACUUGAAUAACUAAAAACCUUGCAAUUAAGCAAGUUGAUGAGAUGCUCAAAGGUUGAAAAUAAUUGGUUAACUAAGGCAAUUCAACACAAUGAACAUUUGUGUGUUUAUCAUUAGGAUCUAAUACAAAUCUUAUCCUUCAUCCCAAAUUGGUUAUAGCAAUCAUGAAGCAUGAUAUGCCAAGAUUCCUCAUAGGUAGUAUGGAGGUUGGGGAAGCCCACAACACACCUUCUUAAUUAAGAUCAAGGGUCAAUUGAAGCAAUUAAUCCCAAGAAAUCAAUUAGCCUUAAGAAUGAAGGAAUCCCCAAUUCCUAGAGGAUGUCAAAUGCUUACACAUCCAUAAAGGAGUUAUGAUUCAUAAGCUAGAGAUGAUUUCUACCAUCAUAAAGCCUUUGUUCUAGAUAAAUUCAAUGAUCCAAUGCAAAAUCAAUGAAAUAAAUCAACCAUUGCUCAAUCAAAUACUAAGCUCAUGAUCAAAGCAUCAAAUAAGCAUAAGAAUUGCAAACUAGAAUCAUAAACAUGGAAUAAAUUGAUAAUCAACAUAAAUCCUUCAAAACCCACAAACAUUCAUUGGUUUUCAGCCAAAGUCAACCAAAUAAGAGUAUUAGCCACUCAUGGCAACAAAGUAACAAGAACAAUAAUCUAAUUGCAUAAAGAAACUACCUAAGAAUUGGAAAGAUGAAAGGAAAUGGUUUCUAGCUCCCAAAAUCGCCUCUUGCAGGUCUCUAAUGGUGGAAAAACGUGAAUUAGCUUCUAGAUCUGAUCCCCAAGGGUUAUGGUGUGCCAAAUGACCAAAAUGCCCAAACUGGGCAGUUGCGCGGGUACCCGCGCGACGAAAAUUCCACUCACGCAAAUGUUGCUGUAAUACUAUUGGUCCACCAAGCCACUCCACCCUUCCACUACCAAAGAUUCCUUUGGUCCCCCUCCUUGUCCAUGUAAUUUGAAAUGCACCAAUCAUCAUUUAGCCACCAAAUGGAUGCUCCAAGCCCAAAAUUUGAAUUUUAUGAUCCAUCUUCACAAGCCCAAAUGAUUCAAGCCAAUAACUUUCAAAGCCCAAUUCUUCCUCUUUGAUUCCGCCAAGCCCAAUAAUGCCUCGGAAGCCCACUAAGCCCGUCUUCAAUCAA